GAGGCUUUUAAGCCCUGAACGACGUCUCACAGGCUGCAGUGCCUCCAAGGCUGCAGCCCGCCUCUACCAGCUAAACCAAUCAAAUAACAGGAAACUGGAAUCCCGCCCCAUGAGAACACAGCCAAUCAGAUUAAAUCAAGGAAUUUCGAGCGCGCAGUUUCACUUUAUUUUCUUUUUUUCAGUGAGCUAGCACAGUAUAACUGCUACAUUUUGGAUUUUUGGAAAGGCUGCUGGUCUGUGUUUCUACAGUCAACCACUUAUGGCACCCAAAAGAAAGAAGACAAAUGAUACCAAGUGACAGUGGACGAGUUGAGACGAAGAGUUGGGGCCCCGGAAAAUAUGUCUGCAAAUACCCUCGUCUCCUACCUUCGUGUUGAUAAGAACAAGAAACAGGAGUUGAAACAAAGGCUUCAAAAUGCGGGUGUCAGCCCUGGACCUUUAACAAGUGUGGUGUCAAUGUGCUCAAAAUUAACUGAGGCUGAAGCUUGUGAGCUGGCAGACAGCUUGGGGAAGAUGGCAGCAGCUUACAUUCCAGAUGACAUUCAACUCAUGGAGUUAGCCAACAAGGAUGUUGCACUGGGGAGACUUGCUUUUUUCAAAGACCUUCUAAACGAAGCCAAAACCCAGCUGCAUCAGCAUGCAAGAGCCUUUGACUUAGUUACUCAUGGCCUUGGCCUAAAAUUAUUCGAUGUUUUCUUUUCAGUCCUGGGAAAGGUGGCAGACUCAGAGAUCAGAAAGUAUAGUGCUGCAGAAUAAGACUUAGUCCAAACCAAGUCUGAAACAAGAUUGAAACAAAGCUGAAGUUCGUUUUGGUUUUAAGUGGCAGUUUAUUGCAAUAAUUUACAUCCAGUUAUCACCCAUGUGGUCUCCCUGUAAUUUACACUAACUGGUCUGUAAAAUAUUGUAAUUUCAGUGAGUUGCUUUUCCAGAUGUUGUGCUAAAUUCUACCUCACUGACAGAAUCAAACAGAAGUGCAGGUGCAUCACACAGCAGAAUGAGUGUAUCUGAUUCCAUUUUUUCUGUUUAUAAAUUAGGUCUAAUUUACAGUUAAAGUAGAUACAGAAUCACUAGCAUAAUAUGUUGUAUCCAUACAACUGCGCUAUGAAGGGGAGUUUGAUUUCAGCACUGCAUCUUUUUCUUAUUCCAUUGUUUAAUGGGUGAAAACAAUUGGUCUGAAAAUCAGUAACCAUCUAGAAAAGGGUUUUCACACUGCCUUUGAAAAAGACCAUGGUUCAGCACAUUCAGACCUUUAACACAUUUCUUUUUGGUUGGACCAAAUAAUGGUCCUAUUUUCUGAACCAUGGAUCAAGGCACCUUUCACACCUGCUAUUUUGUUCAGACCAAACAAGUUAAUAAUUUAGUUAUACUCCAUCCUGUUGUUCUAAUAAAUGUUAAUUUUCUUACAUGGUGCUUGACGUUGAAUUUUGUUACUAGAUUCUAUUCAGCUAAACAGUUAAAAUACUUUUGGACAUUUGGACAUAAAGAUUCAUUUGUGUUUUUCAGAAAGUGAUAUUUUUAUUUUCAGUGCACAUUUAAUUUCAGUUUACAUACUAUAAUUGCAUGUAUAAGAAUACAAUUUCGAAUCUUUCCAGUUCUGUAGAAAUUCACACUGUACAU